UGUUAGGAUGGUUUGGUAUUUCCCAAAGU
rnacentral:piRNA from 1 species